AAUUCUCAAACCUUCUUGGUUUCUUGACCAAGAUGGCUUUGGACUUUGGAGGCGUCUUGCCGGCUUUGCUGAAAGGUCGGCUCCUCUUAAAUGCAUUAGUGGGGUCCUCUUUGCCGAUCCUCGGGCGUGAUAAGAUGCUUCUACGCCUCGGGAUUUGCUCUGUUUCUCGGGAACCUGCUUCCAACCGUCUCGCGAGAGACAUCGUUCGAGUUCACUCGACGCACGAA
rnacentral:misc_RNA from 1 species